GUGGGGAAUAUUGGGCAAUGGGCGAAAGCCUGACCCAGCAACGCCGCGUGAAGGAAGAAGGCUUUCGGGUUGUAAACUUCUUUUGUCAGGGACGAAAAAAAUGACGGUACCUGACGAAUAAGCCACGGCUAACUACGUGCCAGCAGCCGCGAUAAUACGUAGGUGGCAAGCGUUAUCCGGAUUUACUGGGUGUAAAGGGCGUGUAGGCGGGAAAGCAAGUCAGAUGUGAAAACUAUGGGCUCAACCCAUAGCCUGCAUUUGAAACUGUUUUUCUUGAGUACUGGAGAGGCAGAUGGAAUUCCUAGUGUAGCGGUGAAAUGCGUAGAUAUUAGGAGGAACACCAGUGGCGAAGGCGAUCUGCUGGACAGCAACUGACGCUGAGGCGCGAAAGCGUGGGGAGCAAACAGGAUUAGAUACCCCGGUAGUCC
rnacentral:rRNA from 1 species